UGGGGAAUUUUGGGCAAUGGGCGAAAGCCUGACCCAGCAACGCCGUGUGAAGGAUGAAGUAUUUCGGUAUGUAAACUUCGAAAGAAUAGGAAGAAUAAAUGACGGUACUAUUUAUAAGGUCCGGCUAACUACGUGCCAGCAGCCGCGGUAAUACGUAGGGACCAAGCGUUGUUCGGAUUUACUGGGCGUAAAGGGCGCGUAGGCGGCAAUUCAAGUCAUCUGUGAAAUCUCCGGGCUUAACUCGGAACGGUCAGAUGAUACUGCUUUGCUAGAGUGCAGAAGGGGCAAUCGGAAUUCUUGGUGUAGCGGUGAAAUGCGUAGAUAUCAAGAGGAACACCUGAGGUGAAGACGGGUUGCUGGGCCGACACUGACGCUGAGGCGCGAAAGCCAGGGGAGCAAACGGGAUUAGAUACCCCCGUAGUCCCUGAGCGGGCUGGCAAGGCGCAU
rnacentral:rRNA from 1 species